AAGGAGCGAGAGAAUGGGAGCUUCGCCUGUGCGCACAGUGCCAUCGUGGGAGAUGAGAGGGCAGCCCCGGAACACACAGGAGAGAAAGACAACUCUAAACCCGGGCAGAUGGAGCUCGUUCAGCCCUGGCUGUGGAACAUCACAUCAACCCUCUCCUUUCUUCCUCUGCCCUCUGCUGAAGCCUCCUGUUUUGACCAGAUUUUGUGCUACCAUCACUAUGUAGAUGACCACAACUACUUGUACAGAGGCCAUGAGUCAGUAGAAAAGUGAGUUCCUAUCUGCAGGAAUACACUUCAUCAGUGAUGUGCUUUGGUGAACAGAGACUAAAACUGGACCUAGAAUCUCUGCUUUAAGAUGCCAUCGAGAUCUACAAUCUGUGAGACAGCGUUCUUCCCACACCCUGGCAUUUCCUCUCCUCCAUUUGGAUAAAAGUCAAUAUGUCCUAUUGCUGGUCUUAUGCCAAAACCUGAAGCAUUUAAAACAU